UACGAAGGGGGCUAGCGUUGCUCGGAAUGACUGGGCGUAAAGGGCGCGUAGGCGGUUUGUACAGUCAGAUGUGAAAUUCCCGGGCUCAACCUGGGGGCUGCAUUUGAUACGUGCGGACUUGAGUGGGGAAGAGGGUCGUGGAAUUCCCAGUGUAGAGGUGAAAUUCGUAGAUAUUGGGAAGAACACCGGUGGCGAAGGCGGCGACCUGGUCCUUGACUGACGCUGAGGCGCGAAAGCGUGGGGAGCAACAGG
rnacentral:rRNA from 1 species